rnacentral:rRNA from 1 species
AUAUCAGUCAUGCAUAGCAUAUCAAUAAGCGGAGGAAAAGAAACUAACAAGGAUUCCCUUAGUAACGGCGAGUGAAGCGGGAAGAGCUCAAAUUUGAAAUCUUCAAGGUUUUACCUUGACGAAUUGUAGUUUAAAGAAGUGUUUUCUGUUGAAGUUUUGGUAAAAGUUCUUUGGAAUAGGACAUCAUAGAGGGUGAGAAUCCCGUAUUUGACCAUUACUUUCAGCUUUGUGAUACACUUUCAAAGAGUCGGAUUGUUUGGGAAUGCAGUCCAAAAUGGGUGGUAAAUUUCAUCUAAAGCUAAAUAUUGGCGAGAGACCGAUAGCGAACAAGUACCGUGAGGGAAAGAUGAAAAGAACUUUGAAAAGAGAGUUAAACAGUACGUGAAAUUGUCAAAAGGGAAGCGUUUGACACCAGUGUUGUUUUCUCGAAAAUCAAUUAAAAAGAGUUGGAUUUUGUGUUGUAUUGACUUUAUCAGCUUUCUUCACUCUUUUCCAGCUUUUUUUAAUGCACUUUUCGUUUAACAAGUCAACAUCAGUUUCUUUGUUGUAAAAAGGUCAUUGGAAGGUGGCUUUCUCUUCGGAGAAAGUGUUUAUAGCCUUUGACUCACUGCAAUCGGAGAGACUGAGGUCUGCAGCGUAGAUCCUUCGGGGUUAGAUACAUUUGUGCUAAGUUAUAGCUUUUCAUAGACAACUUGUUGACUAUGUUUAGUCUUGUAGCUUACUCGCUUAUGCUAUUUUACCUACGCUUAGGAUGUUGAACUCUAUCACACACAG